ACAACGGCAUAAACUUUGUACAUCAAAAGGUGGAGCUAACGCAAUGGCUUUAAGAAGCCGUUGCAUUAGGUGUACUAAUACAACAACCUGAAAGGCUAUUGCCACGGCAGUUCACUCCAUAUGAAAAUGCGCUUAAAGUUCACUCUCCUCUCUCUUUCUCUCCUUCUCCCUAUUCUCUUCCUCAAAGACGAAGGCAAUCAUCACCGCAGCCGCACACAUCCACAACCACCGUCGCUCACAAAAUUAAAUUCUCUCUUUCUUCUCCCUCCUCAUUCACUGAUGGUCACGGUGGUGAUGGUGGUCGCGAGUGAUAACGACAAUGCGGUUCGAUUUUUAGGGUUUUGAUUGGUAUUCAUGGGUUUCGAUUUGUAACUGUUGGCGGUGGUGGAAAGCAGCGAUGGUGAGUUUUGAUUUGUUAUUGAUGGCGGUGGUGGAGAGUUGCUGAACUAACGUCGCUCGAACUCCAGCUUCGUGCCCUGAUCUUUGAAUAAGCCUUCUCUCUUUAUCUCUCCUUUUUCUUCUUUCUCGCUACUUUCUCUCCCCUUUCAAUUAUUGUUCCAAUUUCGACAAUUAUACACUUAGGAAUUUUCAAUAAAUUGACAAUUUAAUGUUAAUCAGGUUCAUCAUCAUUGUCUGUGGUAGUUGGUGAGAGUGAUUUGCUAAUUGUUGGACCUGGUGUUCUUGGUCGCUUAGUAGCUCAAUAAUGGAGUCAGUUUAAGCGGGUCAAUACCAAGUUCAAUUGGUAAUCUUUCUAAGCUCUAUUGGCUGGAUCUAGCUGAAAACAAGCUUACUGGAACAUUACCUGUCUCAAAUGGGACUAAACCAGGUCUUGAUAUGCUGCAUAGUUGUAAGCACUUAUAUCAACUCUCUGGCUCAAUUCCACCUCAGCUACUCCAUGAAAAUAUGACACUUGCUUAUUCAUUUGUAAGUACCCUGAAGGUAAUUAAAUAAGAUAUAGAUGCUGACAUUGACAUAUAUUCACUGGUAACACUGCAAAUUUGAACGAAUACUGUUUUUUUUUUUUUAAAUUGCAUUGCAGGUUUGUUCUAUAUAUGUAUAUCUCUAAUCCCUUGUGUGUUCUUGCUUAGUUUUUACUCUUGAUUCCAAACUAAAUUUUCCUUUACUAAAUCUCUGUCUUGUAAUUAUACUAGAAUAUAGUUGAUUUUUUUCUUUUCUUGAAUAUCUCUAUUUAGAUUAAUAGUUUUAGAUAAAUUUUUAAGGUGUAUUGGGAUUACCUCGGAUUUACCUUAUACGAAGCAAGGGUAUUUUUAGUUGUAGUGCCAUGUUAUUGGUUUAAACCGCUGUUGUUAAAUUGUUAUGUUGUUUGGGUGGUGCUUGCUGCUAUUCCUUUUACCUUGUACAUUGAUGUUGUCGUUUCUACUAUAUAAUAUGCUACUACAUCUACUCUAUAAUGUUGCUACUACUGCCUCUGCUUUAUAAUGUUGUUGCUGCCCCUGCUGUAAUUUUGCUGACUUGCUGCCUUGCAGACGAUGACAACUCUCUCUCCAGCUACAAAACAUCUCUCUCCCCGGUUUCAAGAUAGAUUUUGGUUUUUGUAGUAUAUGUUGUAGCAGCCAAACAAAUGUUGAAAAUAUUGUAUUUGGGAACAGUGAUUUAGCUUUGAUAGGUUUUUUUUUUUUUUUAUCUCAAUAAAUUUAAUUAGUGAAAUUUGAUUUUGUAACUCUUCCCUUUAAGAGCAAUAAUGUACAAACCUUCAAUUUAUAUUAAUGAAAUUCCAA